CUACGGGUGGCUGCAGUAGGGAAUAUUGGUCAAUGGGUGAGAGCCUGAACCAGCCAUGCCGCGUGCAGGAAGACGGCCUUCUGGGUUGUAAACUGCUUUUAUCUGGGGAUAAAAAGGCCUUGCGAGGCACAUUGAAGGUACCAGAUGAAUAAGCACCGGCUAACUACGUGCCAGCAGCCGCGGUAAUACGUAGGGUGCAAGCGUUGUCCGGAUUUUUUGGGGUGAGAGGGUGGUUUAUCAGUCUAGUAGUGAAAUCCAACAGCUCAACUGUUGAUGUGCCAAUGAUACUGAUGGACUUGAGUACAGACGAGGUAGGCGGAAUUGACAGUGUAGCGGUGAAAUGCAUAGAUAUUGUCAAGAACACCGAUAGCGAAGGCAGCUUGCUAGCCUGUAACUGACGCUGAGGCACGAAAGUAUGGGGAUCAAACAGGAUUAGAUACCCCUGUAGUC
rnacentral:rRNA from 1 species